rnacentral:misc_RNA from 1 species
GGAAGGAUCAUUAAUGAAUAAACUUGAACAGGUUGUUGCUGGCCUUGUGUGGCAUGUGCACGCUUGUCAUCUUUAUGUCUCCUACUGUGCACAUAUUGUAGAUCUGGAAGUAUAUUUGUUUCAGUAGAAUCAAAUAGAUUUGAGCAUUGCUGGUUAAGCAGCUUUGCCCUCUUUGUAUUUCCAGGUCUAUGUUUUAUAUUUAUAAGCACCACGUAUUCAGAAUGUUGAACUUAGGUCUUUGUACCUAUAAAGUUGAAUAUACAACUUUCAGCAACGGAUCUCUUGGCUCUCGCAUCGAUGAAGAACGCAGCGAAAUGCGAUAAGUAAUGUGAAUUGCAGAAUUCAGUGAAUCAUCGAAUUUUUGAACGCAUCUUGCGCUCCUUGGUAUUCCGAGGAGCAUGCCUGUUUGAGUGUCAUUAAAUUCUCAACUAUACUAAGUCUUAUCUUGGUGUAGCUUGGAUCAAUGAGGGCUUUUGCAGGCUUUUAUAAAAUAAAGUCAGCUCCCUUGAAAUUUAUUAGCAGUAUCUGAGCAGAGGGAUACUACUACAGGUGUGAUAAAUAUCUAUGCCUUAGACCUCUGUGUGAAUUAAGAUUGCACUGCUUCUAACUCCCAUAUAUUUGACAUGCUUGACCUCAAAUCAGGUAGGACUACCCGCUGAACUUAAGCAUAUCAAUAAGCGGAGGAAAAGAAACUAACAAGGAUUCCCCUAGUAACUGCGAGUGAAGCGGGAAAAGCUCAAAUUUGAAAUCUGGCAGUUUUUGACUGUCCGAGUUGUAAUCUAGAGAAGUGUUACCUGUGCUGAACCAUGUACAAGUCUUCUGGAAUGAAGUAUCAUAGAGGGUGAGAAUCCCGUCUUUGACAUGGACUACCAGUGCAUUGUGGUAUGCUCUCAAAGAGUCGAGUUGUUUGGGAAUGCAGCUCAAAAUGGGUGGUAAAUGCCAUCUAAAGCUAAAUAUUGGCGAGAGACCGAUAGCGAACAAGUACCGUGAGGGAAAGAUGAAAAGAACUUUGGAAAGAGAGUUAAACAGUACGUGAAAUUGCUGAAAGGGAAACGCUUGAAGUCAGUCACAUUAGCUAGAAAUCAACCUUUGCUUUUGCUUGGUGUAUUUUCUAGUUGAUGGGUCAGCAUCAAUUUUGACCAUUGGAUAAAUUCAUUGGGAAUGUGGCAUCCUUGGAUGUGUUAUAGCCCAUUGUUGUAUACAGUGGUUGGGAUUGAGGAACUCAGCAUGCCGCAAGGCCAGGUUUAUGCCAUGUUCAUGCUUAGGAUGCUGGCAUAAUGGCUUUAAUCGACCCGUCUUGAAACACGGACCAAGGAGUCUAACAUGCCUGCAAGUAUUUGGGUGGAAAACCCAUGUGCGUAAUGAAAGUGAAAGUUGAGAUCCCCUUCAAGGGAGCAUUGACGCCCAGACCAGACCUUUUGUGACGGAUCUGCGGUAGAGCAUGUAUGUUGGGACCCGAAAGAUGGUGAACUAUGCCUGAAUAGGGUGAAGCCAGAGGAAACUCUGGUGGAGGCUCGUAGCGAUUCUGACGUGCAAAUCGAUCGUCAAAUUUGGGUAUAGGGGCGAAAGACUAAUCGAACCAUCUAGUAGCUGGUUCCUGC